rnacentral:rRNA from 1 species
CCUACGGGAGGCUGCAGUGAGGAAUAUUGGUCAAUGGCCGAAAGUCUGAACCAGCCAAGUAGCGUGAGGGAUGACUGCCCUAUGGGUUGUAAACUUCUUUUAUAUGGGAAUAAAAUGUUCCACGUGUGGAAGUUUGUAUGUACCAUAUGAAUAAGGAUCGGCUAACUCCGUGCCAGCAGCCGCGGUAAUACGGAGGAUCCGGGCGUUAUCCGGAUUUAUUGGGUUUAAAGGGAGCGUAGGUGGGUUGUUAAGUCAGUUGUGAAAGUUUGCGGCUCAACCGUAAAAGUGCAGUUGAAACUGGCAGUCUUGAGUACAGUAGAGGUGGGCGGAAUUCGUGGUGUAGCGGUGAAAUGCUUAGAUAUCACGAAGAACCCCGAUUGCGAAGGCAGCUUACUGGACCGCAACUGACACUGAGGCUCGAAAGUGUGGGUAUCAAACAGGAUUAGAUACCCCGGUAGUC